UGGGGAAUAUUGCGCAAUGGGGGGAACCCUGACGCAGCCAUGCCGCGUGAAUGAAGAAGGCCUUCGGGUUGUAAAGUUCUUUCGGUAUUGAGGAAGGUUGAUGUGUUAAUAGCACAUCAAAUUGACGUUAAAUACAGAAGAAGCACCGGCUAACUCCGUGCCAGCAGCCGCGGUAAUACGGAGGGUGCGAGCGUUAAUCGGAAUAACUGGGCGUAAAGGGCACGCAGGCGGUUAUUUAAGUGAGGUGUGAAAGCCCUGGGCUUAACCUAGGGAUUGCAUUUCAGACUGGGUAACUAGAGUACUUUAGGGAGGGGUAGAAUUCCACGUGUAGCGGUGAAAUGCGUAGAGAUGUGGAGGAAUACCGAAGGCGAAGGCAGCCCCUUGGGAAUGUACUGACGCUCAUGUGCGAAAGCGUGGGGAGCAAACAGGAUUAGAUACCCUGGUAGUCCACGCUGUAAACGCUGUCGAUUUGGGGGUUGGGGUUUAACUCUGGCGCCCGUAGCUAACGUGAUAAAUCGACCGCCUGGGGAGUACGGCCGCAAGGUUA
rnacentral:rRNA from 1 species